rnacentral:rRNA from 1 species
UACAGAGGGUGCAAGCGUUGUUCGGAAUCAUUGGGCGUAAAGGGCGUGUAGGCGGUUUUGUUAAGUCAUGUGUGAAAUCCCUCGGCUCAACCGGGGAACGACGCAUGAAACUGGCAAGCUAGAGUACCAAAGGAGGGUGGUGGAAUUUCCCGGUGUAGCGGUGAAAUGCGUAGAUAUCGGGGAGGAACACCUGUGGCGAAGGCGGCCACCCUGGUUG